CCUACGGGCGGCAGCAGUGGGGGAUAUUGGACAAUGGGGGAAACCCUGAUCCAGCGACGCCGCGUGAGUGAAGAAGUAUUUCGGUAUGUAAAGCUCUGUCAGCAGGGAAGAAAGAAAUGACGGUACCUGACCAAGAAGCCCAGGCUAACUACGUGCCAGCAGCCGCGGUAAUACGUAGGGGGCAAGCGUUAUCCGGAAUUACUGGGUGUAAAGGGAGCGUAGACGGCAGCGCAAGUCUGGAGUGAAAUGCCGGGGCCCAACCCCGGAACUGCUCUGGACACUGUGAAGCUGGAGUGCAGGAGAGGGAAGCGGAAUUCCUGGUGUAGCGGUGAAAUGCGUAGAUAUCAGGAGGAACACCGGCGGCGAAGGCGGCUUACUGGACUGUAACUGACGUUGAGGCUCGAAGGCGUGGGGAGCAAACAGGAUUAGAUACCCUAGUAGUC
rnacentral:rRNA from 1 species